GCAGCCGUGGCUGACUGGUUACGGUGCUCGCUUUGUAAGCGAUUGGUCCUGGGUUCGAUUCCCGUCUGCUUGCA
rfam:Culex pipiens quinquefasciatus supercont3.373 genomic scaffold, whole genome shotgun sequence.